AUGUUCUACUACGGCCUAGAUUUCCAUGAUCUAGCCCCGAAUUUUAUUCUCAACAUCUCGGCGUUUAUCGUCGUGUGCGAGGCCUUCCUCUGCAUCCAGCCCCAUUUCGGCUUGUGGCUCAAGACCUUCAGUGUCAAGCCGAAGGUUGUGAAGGGCAGCCAAGCGGAGUGCGGAGGCGCCAUGGUGGGCAGGAUGUCCCACGUUAUGUGGCUGGAGGGCACCUUUGUGGAAACCAUCAAGGGGUGGCAAUCGGGGUGGUUCUACAUCACCGAGCCGCGUGAUCCCGAAUGGGCAGCGGCCCCCGAAUUCAGAUCCGGCAUCCCCACAUGGCUCACCUCCUGGAAAGAGAGCGGUCGGAUUUGGGGCGAUUCAGAGGAGCUGAUCGGACUCCAAGCCUGCGUCCAAAAGCUGGUGGACAAGAAGCUCAAGCUUGUCAACAUAGUCCAAGUCAUGCUCAUCCGCCAGAUUCUCCCGUGCCAACGACGGGGCUUCAAUAUGUGGGAGUUCGAUCCGGUGCAGCACCAGACUUUGAAUGGGCUCUUCGACACUACGUACGAAGAGGUCUAG
rnacentral:rRNA from 1 species